rnacentral:rRNA from 1 species
CCUCACUUCGGGCUAAGCUUGGGAAACUGGGUCUAAUACCGGAUAGGAGCCAUCUUUAGUGUGGUGGUUGGAAAGUUUUUCGGUGUAGGAUGAGCUCGCGGCCUAUCAGCUUGUUGGUGGGGUAAUGGCCUACCAAGGCGGCGACGGGUAGCCGGCCUGAGAGGGUGUACGGCCACAUUGGGACUGAGAUACGGCCCAG